rnacentral:ncRNA from 2 species
AAUCAAUAAAAAGCGCCAGGACUAAGUGGAAUUUAGUUGAAAGUGAAUUUUUACAGGGUUGGUUUUUAUAAAAGGAAUUUAGUUAAUAGUAAGCUUUGAUAUAAGCUACGCGAAUAGCUAAUGAAAUCUUUUUAAAGGAAACUCGACUCACGUUCGUUCGCUGAGUAAAUUCAACUAUCCAAAUCGAAGAUUUGGAGUUUCAUUUACGUCGACGAGGUUGGGGAGUAUCGAAACUUCGGCGGGUGCCCCACGGUAUCGCACUACCGUAAACGACUGGUAAAACUGUGAAGUGAUUCACAGGACAAAUUCAGUCUGGUGUUAAAA